UUUUAAGUAACAAAAUGAGACAGUUUAUCCGACAAGGGUGAGAUUUUCCACUGAGCUUUCUGACAAUGAUAGAUGAUGAUAAGCAUUUGAAUAUUCCGAUUCUUUUUGUAUUCGAAGACGUAUUGACGUCCUCGUCCUCGUCUUCUAUUAAGCUACCUCGACCUCAAUGACAAUUUUAUCUUUUUCAUAUGACCUCGACCUUUUGAGGUCCGAUUGAUUUGUCAUAAUAUCGACACGUCACAACCUUCAAAAACUUUAUCUUUCACUGACCCAAGUCAAAUGCGUGAUAUGAAAUUUUUUGCCCAUACAUCUUGCAUAUUACAAAACAUAUGAUUCAUGAAUUUCAC
rnacentral:lncRNA from 1 species